rnacentral:rRNA from 1 species
CCCAGACUCCUACGGGAGGCAGCAGUGGGGAAUAUUGCACAAUGGGGGAAACCCUGAUCCAGCGACGCCGCGUGAGUGAAGAAGUAUUUCGGUACGUAAAGCUCUAUCAGCAGGAAAGAAAAUGACGGUACCUGACUAAGAAGCCCCGGCUAACUACGUGCCAGCAGCCGCGGUAAUACGUAGGGGGCAAGCGUUAUCCGGAUUUACUGGGUGUAAAGGGAGCGUAGACGGCAGCGCAAGUCUGGAGUGAAAUGCCGGGGCCCAACCCCGGAACUGCUCUGGAAACUGUGAAGCUGGAGUGCAGGAGAGGUAAGCGGAAUUCCUGGUGUAGCGGUGAAAUGCGUAGAUAUCAGGAGGAACACCGGCGGCGAAGGCGGCUUACUGGACUGUAACUGACGUUGAGGCUCGAAGGCGUGGGGAGCAAACAGGAUUAGAUACCCGUGUAU